rnacentral:sRNA from 2 species
AGGUGCCACGCGUAUCCUCCGGUUCUGAGUGCGCCGCCCCCACCAGCUGACGACCGCUUGCUAGGUUUCGUCAGCC